UACGGAGGGUGCAAGCGUUAUCCGGAUUCACUGGGUUUAAAGGGUGCGUAGGUGGUUUUGUAAGUCAGUGGUGAAAGCCCGGAGCUCAACUCCGGAACUGCCAUUGAUACUGCUUAACUUGAAUCAACUUGAGGUGGAUGGAAUAUUACAUGUAGCGGUGAAAUGCUUAGAUAUGUAAUAGAACACCGAUUGCGAAGGCAGUUCACUAAGGUUUGUAUUGACACUGAGGCACGAAAGCGUGGGGGAUCAAACAGGA
rnacentral:rRNA from 1 species